rnacentral:rRNA from 1 species
CUACGACCAUAUCACGCUGAAAACACCGGUUCUCGUCCGAUCACCGAAGUUAAGCAACGUCGAGCCCGGUUAGUACUUGGAUGGGUGACCGCCUGGGAAUACCGGGUGUUGUAG